CGGUAAACAAAAGCAUGUGACGGCGUGAGGCGUCGAUGCGCGUUGGCAGUUCGCUUAUAUUUUAGGUUUCCUUAGUUAUUUCGCAGUAUACUUUGCAAUAAUGAUCAAAGCAAUCUUAAUAUUUAACCAAUAUGGAAAGAUCAGGUUGACAAAAUUCUACGAACAUUUCCAUGAAGAGGAGCAACAGCACAUUAUACGCGAGGUUUUUCAACUUGUUUCCAGGCGAGCAGACGACGUUUGCAACUUCCUUGAAGGUGGAGAUCUCGUCAAAAAUUCUGACUACAAGAUUAUCUACCGUCGCUACGCCACUCUGUUCAUAGUAUUCUGUGCUGACUCCAGUGAGAGUGAGCUGGGCAUCUUGGAUUUGAUUCAGGUCCUGGUAGAGCUGCUCGAUAAGGCCUUUGAAAACGUCUGCGAGCUUGACCUCGUGUUUCAUGUGGACCAGGUGCACUACAUCUUGAACGAGCUUGUGAUGGGAGGUAUGGUGGUCGACACCAACAUGACUGAACUCAUGACUCGUGUCACGGAUCAGGCAACCAUUGAGAAGCAGGAACGGACUUGAAUUGGAGGUGAUCCAUUAUCAAAGCAUUACGGAUGGGAAAGUCGUUCCAGUUUUGGGCAGGUGGUAUCGCUAAAAACACUGUCAAGGCCAUCACAGCUGUCAAGAAUGUCAACCUGUCACGGCACAUCAAGGACAUGAAGCUUCCCGAUUUUGCAACUCUUA
rnacentral:misc_RNA from 1 species